UACGAAGGGGGCUAGGCGUUGUUCGGAUUUACUGGGCGUAAAGCGCACGUAGGCGGAUCUUUAAGUCAGAGGUGAAAUCCCAAGGCUCAACCUUGGAACUGCCUUUGAUACUGGGGAUCUUGAGUCCGGGAGAGGUGAGUGGAACUGCGAGUGUAGAGGUGAAAUUCGUAGAUAUUCGCAAGAACACCAGUGGCGAAGGCGGCCCACUGGCCCGGUACUGACGCUGAGGUGCGAAAGCGUGGGGAGCAAACAGG
rnacentral:rRNA from 1 species